rnacentral:ncRNA from 1 species
CUUUGCCUUUUUGCUUCCCAGCCAACCAGCCCACUUCCAAGCCCAACGGCUCCAACCAUUGACGGAAGGUAUUCGCAUGUUGCUCUGCCAGUAAUUCGGUAGGGGCCAUCAACGCGACUUGCUUACCGUGAGCAAUGGCGCGCAGUGCUGCCAGCGCCGCAACCAAUGUUUUACCCGAGCCAACAUCCCCUUGAAUCAGCCGCAUCAUCGGGAAAUUGUGCGUCAUAUCUUGCUCAAUUUCCGCCACCACCCGCU